AGUGAACGCUGGCGGUAGGCCUAACACAUGCAAGUCGAACGGCAGCACAGUAAGAGCUUGCUCUUACGGGUGGCGAGUGGCGGACGGGUGAGGAAUACAUCGGAAUCUACUUUUUCGUGGGGGAUAACGUAGGGAAACUGACGCUAAUACCGCAUACGACCUACGGGUGAAAGCAGUGGAUCUUCGGACCUUGCGCGAUUGAAUGAGCCGAUGUCGGAUUAGCUAGUUGGCGGGGUAAAGGCACACCAAGGCGACGAUCCGUAGCUGGUCUGAGAGGAUGAUCAGCCACACUGGAACUGAGACACGGUCCAGACUCCUACGGGAGGCAGCAGUGGGGAAUAUUGGACAAUGGGCGCAAGCCUGAUCCAGCCAUACCGCGUGGGUGAAGAAGGCCUUCGGGUUGUAAAGCCCUUUUGUUGGGAAAGAAAAGCAGCAGGUUAAUACCCCGCUGUUCUGACGGUACCCAAAGAAUAAGCACCGGCUAACUUCGUG
rnacentral:rRNA from 1 species